CCUUUAGGAAACAUAACAGGAUGUGAUUCAUUGUGGCUUCUGGGAAGCAGGGAUAAAAAUGGCCACCUGCAACUCCUUUGGAUUCUAAUUCAACACCACCUCAGGUUCUUUUGCCAGCAAAAAUACUGAGUUCAGCUGCAGCUGCAUCAAUUAGCUCCUCAAGCCUGCAAGCAGUGACACUUCUUUGGGUGAAUGAUGGACCUACUGGUGAGUCCAUAAAUGCAAUGAUCAAUCCUCCCUUUCAUGUUACUGUGUUUAAACAUUCUUUUACCACCAUGAGCUUUGAAGGUGGCAAUCCCCUGCCCUUUACUCAUAAAAAACACACAAA